ensembl:lncRNA LINC01427 long intergenic non-protein coding RNA 1427
AAAGGGCUCAGCUUCAACCGAGUCCCAAAGCUGAACACAAGUGUCGGUUUUCAGGGAACUCAAAGUUCAUAUUUAGUCACAUCUUAUAAUGAAACAAACCGUCUCUAGAACGUAUGCAUUUGAGCACUCCAGUACUCGAGUAUCCAAGGAAGGUGAACCAGCCCAGGAGUCCUGUAAACAGCCAUCCUUCCAAGUCAGCACAUAAAGUUGGAGGUGCAGCUUCAGAAGAAGGCUAGAUCUGCCUUUACCCAGAACAGUGAGUGACGUUUGAUAAAAAUGAAGAAAUAAUGACAAGAGAAAAUAUUGUCUCAAUUGUAUCAGAUUAACCGAAACCAUUAACGUCAGAGCUUGAUGGAACAAUCACCCAUCAUUUUAAACAAAAUUGAUGACGCAACCUUGCAGGGGCUUCCUUGACGCUCCUGGGAACAGGAACACGUGGCUCCUUGAGAGCAGAACUUUCCUGCUUUGCUCCCUUCUGGAUUCGCAACACUAACAUCAUACUUGACAACUGGUAGGCACUCAUCUGAUGUGCCUUUCAGCCCCUCCUGGCUGAGUUAAUGGGGACAUCUGUUACCUCAGGACCUUGGAGAGAAUGGCACUACAGAGAAGAUCACAGGGAAGAGAAGAGGACCUCAUAAAUCACGCCUGUGUUUGUGUUUCUCAUUUGGCAUGGUUCUGGACUACUGCAGGCAGAAUGGAGUGCAUUUUCUGUUGGGGAUGUCAGAUAUGAGAUGAAUACUAGGAACAGAGGAGAGAAAGAAACAUCCUAUCUUCUUGCAGACAAAUCAGAGCAGAUGGGGAUCUAGGCAGCUGCUACCUUUUCUUUGUUUUUCAAAUUACUUAAUCAAAUUUAUUUUAAAUCUCUUUAAAUUCAUUCCAUUUAAAGCUUCCAAAGCAGGUUGAAAAAGGGAAAUUUGUGCAGGAAAGGGCCUUGAGUUGAGUUAGAAAUGGGAAAUUGUGUCCUAAGCCUCCACUCUAAGUCUACUUUAGAUGAGUGGAUUUCAAAUGCAUUCCCAGAAGCAAACCUUUGGAAAAAUCCAUGCUCUGCAAACAGGUCUCCUAUACACAGCUCUGACACUGGCCAUCUUCCAUCUGGCAAAUAACAUGUUCUGAAAGUUUCUGGGCACCACUUCCAUGGAUGGCUCUAAGGGAGGGGAAGCAGCAGCAGUAACAGAGGACACCAGCAAAUGGGAAGAGGGAAUAUGAGGUGCCCUUGACCUUGGAGCUCACAAAGCAUGUUGAGAAUGUAAGAAGCAGAGAAGGAAUCAGAAGAUGUGAAUCACGUGGGAAAGGGAGAUGUGGAAAUGAGGCUAGAAGUGGAGUAGGCUUCUGAAAAAUGUCAGCUGUGGUGUUGGUGAAAUGUGGGCCCUAGGAGCAGCAGAGCUUCCAGCUGAAAUGUAUCCUGGGCUACCAGCUGUCAAUCAUAGGUCCACAUUACUACAGUGGCCCCAGUGAAGUGAAAGAAGAGGGAAAGGCACCAUGUGCCACGAUUGGCCACGAUUACUUGUCUCUAUUGAGACAAGAACAACCACAACACAGGACUGGGUGAGAAUUCACCAAGAUGAUCCAAGCAAAACACAAAAGUCAAUACCUAACUCACAAGCUCCUCCAGCAAUUUCCAAGCACAGUGUCAGUGUCCGAGCACUCAUUCAUUUAUUCACUCAACAAACAGUUACUCAUGGCCCAUUGUGUGCCAGGCACCAUUUGAAUUAGCAGGGCAGUGUAUUGGACUGAAUGUUUGUGUCCUUCCAAAUUUCAUAUGUUGAAAUCCUAACUCUCAAUGUGCUAGUAUUCAAAGGUGAGGCCUUUGGGAGGUGAUUAUGUCAUGUGAUGGUUAAUACAAAGUGUCAAUUUGAUUGGAUUGAAGGAUGCAAAUAUUGUUUCUGGGUGUGUCUGUAAAGGUGUUGCUAGAGGAGAUUAACAUUUGAGUCAGCAGACUGGGAGACACACACCUACCCUCAAUCUGGGUGGGCGCCGU